GCCCACACACCGGGGAGCCCCACGAUGAGGGGCUGAGAGGCCAUAAACAGUCCAGAAGGAUUGUCGCGUGGCGACCCGUAGAACCUGCUCCGGAUCAUGCCGGCGAAGGGAGGGGACACUGUGACUUU
rnacentral:ncRNA from 2 species